rnacentral:misc_RNA from 1 species
GGAGCCCGCGCUGCCCGAAUGUGGUGGUGGGGUGCUCGAAUGGCGGAGACACUGGCAAGUUUUGCCUCGGCAACGGCCGGCGGCGCUUAGUACAGCCAUCUUCGGGUGGUGGGAACGGAUGCUGUUGGUGCGGCUGGGGGGGAAUGUAGAGCACCCUGUUGGGUCCUGAAAGAACAACCGUUGGUUGUUUCUUUCGGAGACUGGUCUGAGCCCCUGGUGGGGCUCAGAAGUCUGCCAGGCAUGGCCUGGCCUCACAUACCGCCGACUGUUGGGUUGGGUUUGGUGUGGGGCGGAUCGGGUUGUGGGUUGGU